AUUGAACGCUGGCGGCAGGCCUAACACAUGCAAGUCGAACGAGUGGCGGACGGGUGAGUAAUGUAUGGGAAACUGCCCGAUAGAGGGGGAUAACUACUGGAAACGGUGGCUAAUACCGCAUACAAUCAGAUGAGACCAGAGGGGAUUAGCAAGUAGGUGGGGUAAAGGCUCACCAAGGCGACGAUCCCUAGCUGGUCUGAGAGGAUGACCAGCCACACGGGUACUGCGACACGGUCCGGACUCCUACGGGAGGCAGCAGUGGGGAAUAUUGCACAAUGGGCGCAAGCCUGAUGCAGCCAUGCCGCGUGUAUGAAGAAGGCCUUCGGGUUGUAAAGUACUUUCAGCGGGGAGGCGUUACCCGCAGAAGAAGCACCGGCUAACUCCGUGCCAGCCGCCGCGGUAAUAC
rnacentral:rRNA from 1 species